CGGGCGGGGUAGGGAAGGGGUGGGAAGACCUCGCAGCACAGCCGGGCGCCCGUCGGGCUCUGGGAGAGAGCGAGAGAGAAAUCCGGUUAAAAUCAGAGUCGGAGGGAGGUUUAACCACAGAUCGGUUCCGAUCGGAUUAUUCCUUAAAGGGGACGCGCCAUUGUCAAGAGAACGGAGCCAGGGGCCCGAGGGCGGGGACCGGCGGCGCUGGAGGAGCGAGGCAGCUGUACUAGGACUGGGAACGGAGCUGAAGCCAUUUAUUGGUAUCUUGGAUGGUUAACAUCUAAAUGCUUAAUUCCUGAAACCACUCAAGAGUCAUAGGAUUAGAUGAUCCAAGUCACCAAGAAAUUACUGUCUCAAGUGAUACGCUUCAGCGCCAGUCAGCAAAGUAAAUAAAUACUGUGCUUCUUCCAACUUUCAUUCCACUUGGGGAAAAAAAAA
rnacentral:lncRNA from 1 species